AGGUAGAGAAGGAGAUGUCGAGUGGGACUAGUCUCUUGGCUGUCUGACUGUGCUGUUGAAACGGGCGCCUGUCGGAGAUAAAGGAGAGAAUGCAUCAGGAGCAAGUUUUUAAGAAGCAGCCUUGAGAAAGAAAUUUGAUCAUGACAGACAAAGCAAAGUUCAAUCGCAGAAACAUUGAGGAGGACCAGCUAGGAGGAGCGAUACAUCAUUCCCUAGAGUCUCAGAAAAACGCAUUUCUGGUUCGGCCAGCAUUUAUUGCCCAGAGGGCAGUUAAGAGUCAACCACAGACCAG